rnacentral:rRNA from 1 species
AAACUGAAGAGUUUGAUCAUGGCUCAGAUUGAACGCUGGCGGCAGGCUUAACACAUGCAAGUCGAGCGGUAACAGGUCUAGCUUGCUAGACGCUGACGAGCGGCGGACGGGUGAGUAAUGCAUAGGAAUCUGCCCGAUAGUGGGGGAUAACCUGGGGAAACCCAGGCUAAUACCGCAUACGUCCUACGGGAGAAAGGGGGCUUCGGCUCGCGCUAUC